rnacentral:rRNA from 1 species
AUUGAACGCUGGCGGCAUGCUUUACACAUGCAAGUCGAACGGCAGCACGGGGGCAACCCUGGUGGCGAGUGGCGAACGGGUGAGUAAUGCAUCGGAACGUGUCCUUAAGUGGGGGAUAACGCACCGAAAGGUGUGCUAAUACCGCAUAAUCUCUACGGAGAAAAGCAGGGGAUCGCAAGACCUUGCGCUUUUGGAGCGGCCGAUGUCUGAUUAGCUAGUUGGUGAGGUAAAGGCUUACCAAGGCGUCGAUCAGUAGCUGGUCUGAGAGGACGACCAGCCACACUGGGACUGAGACACGGCCCAGACUCCUACGGGAGGCUG